rnacentral:misc_RNA from 1 species
GAAAUGCGAUAAGUAAUGUGAAUUGCAGAAUUCAGUGAAUCAUCGAAUCUUUGAACGCACCUUGCGCUCCUUGGUAUUCCUUGGAGCAUGCCUGUUUGAGUAUCAUGAAAUCUUCAAAGUAAAUCUUUUGUUAACUCAAUUGGUUUCUACUUUGGUAUUGGAGGUCUUUGCAGCUUCACACCUGCUCCUCUUUGUUCAUUAGCUGGAUCUCAGUGUUAUGCUUGGUUCCACUCGGCGUGAUAAGUUAUCUAUCGCUGAGGACACUGUAAAAGGUGGCCAAGGUAAAUGCAGAUGAACCGCUUCUAAUAGUCCAUUGACUUGGACAAUACUUUUAUGAUCUGAUCUCCAAUCAGGUAGAACUACCCGCUGAACUUAGGC